rnacentral:rRNA from 1 species
CUCAUUAUAUAAGUUAUCGUUUAUUUGAUAAUACUUUACUACUUGGAUAACCGUGGUAAUUCUAGAGCUAAUACAUGCUAAAAAUCCCGACUUCGGAAGGGUUGUAUUUAUUAGAUUAAAAACCAAUGCCCCUCGGGGCUCUCUGGUGAAUCAUGAUAACUAGUCGAAUCGACAGGCCUUGUGCCGGCGAUGGCUCAUUCAAAUUUCUUCCCUAUCAACUUUCGAUGUUUGGGUCUUGUCCAAACAUGGUGGCAACGGGUAACGGAGGGUUAGGGCUCGACCCCGGAGAAGGAGCCUGAGAAACGGCUACUACAUCCAAGGAAGGCAGCAGGCGCGCAAAUUACCCAAUCCCGACACGGGGAGGUAGUGACAAUAAAUACUGAUACAGGGCUCUUUUGGGUCUUGUAAUCGGAAUGAGUACAAUUUAAAUCCCUUAACGAGGAACAAUUGGAGGGCAAGUCUGGUGCCAGCAGCCGCGGUAAUUCCAGCUCCAAUAGCGUAUAUUAAAGUUGUUGUGGUUAAAAAGCUCGUAGUUGAACCUUGGGCCUGGCUGGCCGGUCCGCCUCACCGCGUGCACUGGUCCGGCCGGGCCUUUCCCUCUGCGGAACCCCAUGCCCUUCACUGGGUGUGGCGGGGAAACAGGACUUUUACUUUGAAAAAAUUAGAGUGCUCAAGGCAGGCCUAUGCUCGAAUACAUUAGCAUGGAAUAAUAGAAUAGGACGUGUGGUUCUAUUUUGUUGGUUUCUAGGACCGCCGUAAUGAUUAAUAGGGACAGUCGGGGGCAUCAGUAUUCAAUUGUCAGAGGUGAAAUUCUUGGAUUUAUUGAAGACUAACUACUGCGAAAGCAUUUGCCAAGGAUGUUUUCAUUAAUCAGGAACGAAAGUUAGGGGAUCGAAGACGAUCAGAUACCGUCGUAGUCUUAACCAUAAACUAUGCCGACUAGGGAUCGGACGAUGUUACAUUUUUGACGCGUUCGGCACCUUACGAGAAAUCAAAGUGCUUGGGCUCCAGGGGGAGUAUGGUCGCAAGGC